UACGGAGGGGACUAGCGUUGUUCGGAAUUACUGGGCGUAAAGCGCACGUAGGCGGAUUUGUAAGUCAGGGGUGAAAUCCCGGGGCUCAACCUCGGAACUGCCUUUGAUACUGCAAAUCUCGAGUCCGGAAGAGGUGAGUGGAAUUCCUGGUGUAGCGGUGGAAUGCGCAGAUAUCAGGAGGAACAUCCGUGGCGAAGGCGGCUCUCUGGGACGGUACUGACGCUGAGACGCGAAAGCGUGGGGAGCGAACAGG
rnacentral:rRNA from 1 species